rnacentral:rRNA from 1 species
UCAGGACGAACGCUGGCGGCGUGCCUAAUACAUGCAAGUCGAACGGUCUUUCUAUGGAAGCUUGCUUCCACUGAGAAGAUAGUGGCGAACGGGUGAGUAACACGUGGGUAACCUGCCCAUAAGAGGGGGAUAACAUCCGGAAACGGGUGCUAAUACCGCAUAGUUUCUUGAUCGCAUGAUCGGGAAAGGAAAGACGGCCUUUGUGCUGUCGCUUAUGGAUGGACCCGCGGCGUAUUAGUUAGUUGGUGAGGUAACGGCUCACCAAGACGAUGAUACGUAGCCGACCUGAGAGGGUGAUCGGCCACAUUGGGACUGAGACACGGCCCAAACUCCUACGGGAGGCAGCAGUAGGGAAUCUUCCGCAAUGGACGAAAGUCUGACGGAGCAACGCCGCGUGAGUGAAGAAAGGUUUUCGGAUCGUAAAACUCUGUUGUCAGAGAAGAACAAGUUGGAGAGUAACUGCUCCAGCCUUGACGGUAUCUGACCAGAAAGCCACGGCUAACUACGUGCCAGCAGCCGC